GGUAGAGUUUGAUCCUGGCUCAGAUUGAACGCUGGCGGCAUGCCUUACACAUGCAAGUCGAACGGCAGCACGGGAGCAAUCCUGGUGGCGAGUGGCGAACGGGUGAGUAAUAUAUCGGAACGUGCCCAGUCGUGGGGGAUAACGUAGAGAAAUUUACGCUAAUACCGCAUACGAUCUAAGGAUGAAAGCGGGGGACCGUAAGGCCUCGCGCGAUUGGAGCGGCUGAUAUCAGAUUAGGUUGUUGGUGAGGUAAAAGCUCACCAAGCCGACGAUCUGUAGCUGGUUUGAGAGAACGACCAGCCACACUGGGACUGAGACACGGCCCAGACUCCUACGGGAGGCAGCAGUGGGGAAUUUUGGACAAUGGGCGAAAGCCUGAUCCAGCAAUGCCGCGUGCAGGAAGAAGGCCUUCGGGUUGUAAACUGCUUUUGUACGGAACGAAAAGGCUUGCCUUAAUACGGCGGGCCCAUGACGGUACCGUAAGAAUAAGCACCGGCUAACUACGUGCCAGCAGCCGCGGUAGUACGGAGGAUGCAAGCGUUAUCCGGAAUGAUUGGGCGUAAAGCGUCCGUAGGUGGUUUUGUAAGUCCGUGGUUAAAGCGUGUAGCUCAACUACAUAACAGCCAUGGAAACUACAAGACUUGAGUAAAGUAGGGGUAGAGGGAAUUCCCAGUGUAGCGGUGAAAUGCGUAGAGAUUGGGAAGAACACCGGUGGCGAAAGCGCUCUACUGGACUUAAACUGACACUGAGGGACGAAAGCUAGGGGAGCGAAAGGGAUUAGAUACCCCUGUAGUCCUAGCCGUAAACGAUGGAUACUAGGUGUUGCCCGUAUCGACCCGGGCAGUGCCGUAGCUAACGCGUUAAGUAUCCCGCCUGGGGAGUACGCACGCAAGUGUGAAACUCAAAGGAAUUGACGGGGGCCCGCACAAGCGGUGGAGUAUGUGGUUUAAUUCGAUGCAACGCGAAGAACCUUACCAGGGCUUGACAUGUCUAGAAUUUCUGCGAAAGUAGAAAGUGCCUUCGGGAGCUAGAACACAGGUGGUGCAUGGCUGUCGUCAGCUCGUGUCGUGAGAUGUUGGGUUAAGUCCCGCAACGAGCGCAACCCUCGUUUUUAGUUGCCAUCAUUAAGUUGGGCACUCUAGAAAGACUGCCGGUGACAAACCGGAGGAAGGUGGGGAUGACGUCAAGUCAGCAUGCCCCUUACGCCCUGGGCUACACACGUACUACAAUGCUAUGGACAAAGGGCAGCCAACUGGCGACAGUGCGCUAAUCCCAUAAACCAUGGCUCAGUUCAGAUUGCAGGCUGCAACUCGCCUGCAUGAAGGCGGAAUCGCUAGUAAUCGCAGGUCAGCAUACUGCGGUGAAUCCGUUCCCGGGCCUUGUACACACCGCCCGUCACACCAUGGGAGUUGGUCACGCCCGAAGUCGUUACUCUAACCCUAGUGGAAGAGGACGCCGAAGGUAGGGCUGAUGACUGGGGUGAAGUCGUAACAAGGUAACC
rnacentral:rRNA from 1 species